UGCAGUCGAACGAUUGCCUUCGGGUGAUAGUGGCGCACGGGUGCGUAACGCGUGGGAAUCUGCCCUUAGGUUCGGAAUAACAGCUGGAAACGGCUGCUAAUACCGGAUGAUAUCGCGAGAUCAAAGAUUUAUCGCCUGAGGAUGAGCCCGCGUUGGAUUAGGUAGUUGGUGGGGUAAAGGCCUACCAAGCCGACGAUCCAUAGCUGGUCUGAGAGGAUGAUCAGCCACACUGGGACUGAGACACGGCCCAGACUCCUACGGGAGGCAGC
rnacentral:rRNA from 1 species